rnacentral:rRNA from 1 species
CCUACGGGAGGCAGCAGUGAGGAAUAUUGGUCAAUGGGCGCUAGCCUGAACCAGCCCAGUCGCGUGAAGGAUGACUGCCCUAUGGGUUGUACACUUCUUUUGUCUGGGCAUACAGUUCAGUAUGUAUACUUCUUUGCAUGUACCUUAUGAAUAAGCAUCGGCUAACUCCGUGCCAGCAGCCGCGGUAAUACGGAGGAUUCGAGCGUUAUCCGGAUUUAUUGGGUUUAAAGGGAGCGUAGGCGGGUUGUUAAGUCAGUGGUGAAAGUUUGCGGCUCAACCGUAAGAUAGCAGUUGAUACUGGCAGCCUUGAGUACAGUAGAGGUAGGCGGAAUUCGUGGUGUAGCGGUGAAAUGCUUAGAUAUCACGAAGAACUCCGAUUGCGAAGGCAGCCUGUUGGACUGUAACUGACGCUGAUGCUCGAAAGUGUGGGUAUCAAACAGGAUUAGAUACCCUGGUAGUC